AUUGAACGCUGGCGGCAGGCUUAACACAUGCAAGUCGAGCGAGCGGCGGACGGGUGAGUAAUGUCUGGGAAACUGCCUGAUGGAGGGGGAUAACUACUGGAAACGGUAGCUAAUACCGCAUACCAUCAGAUGUGCCCAGAUGGGAUUAGCUAGUAGGUGGUGUAAAGGAUCACCGAGGCGACGAUCCCUAGCUGGUCUGAGAGGAGGAACAGCUACACUGUAACUGAGACACGGUCCAGACUCCUACGGAAGGCAGCAGUGGGGAAUAUUGCGCAGUGUGCGGAAACCUGAUGCAGCCAUGCCGCGUGUGUGAAGAAGGCCUUCGGGUUGUAAAGCACUUUCAGCGAGGAGGCGUUACUCGCAGAAGAAGCACCGGCUAACUCCGUGCCAGCAGCCGCGGUAAUAC
rnacentral:rRNA from 1 species